rnacentral:rRNA from 1 species
AGGACGAACGCUGGCGGCGUGCUUAACACAUGCAAGUCGAACGAAGUCCAUCCGAGCUUGCUCGGGGAAUACUUAGUGGCGAACGGGUGAGUAACACGUGAAGAACCUGCCUCGAAGAGGGGAAUAACAGUGGGAAACCACUGCUAAUGCCUCAUACCAUUAUCUAUUCGCAUGUUUGGAUAAUGAAAUGAAUUUCGCUUUGAGAGGGCUUCGCGGCCUAUCAGCUUGAUGGUGAGGUAACGGCCCACCAUGGCUACGACGGGUAGCUGGUCUGAGAGGACGACCAGUCACACUGGGACUGAGACACGGCCCAGACUCCACGGGAGGCAGCAGUGGGGAAUCUUGCGCAAUGGGCGAAAGCCUGACGCAGCAACGCCGCGUGCGGAUGAAGGCCUUCGGGUCGUAAACCGCUUUCAGUAGGAACGAUAAUGACGUACUACAGAAGAAGGUCCGCCAACUACGUGCCAGCAGCCGC